AAGGUCCCAGCAGUUCCAGGCAUGGUCUCAGCCGUAGAGAAAGUACAGCAGGUUGGAGGAGGCUGGUACCCCUGGAUGGACCUUACAGAUGCUCUCUUCUCCGAGCCCGGUUUGCCUUCAGGUGGGAAGGAUCCCAGUUUGCCUCUGCUGUGCUAGGCGGGGAUCUGAGCUCCACGGCUGAUUGUCACCACGUGGUCAGGAGGGAUAUGGACUUGGCGCAACGCUUGAGUGUAAUAAUACACGAUGUUGGUGACAUUAUGGUAAUACCAGAAACGGAGGAGCUGGCUAGGACUCAUUUGAAUGCAACAAGGACAUACGUGCCCAACCAGGGCUGGUUAAUAAAUCCAGCGAAGGUCCAAGGUCCUGCUCAGUGAAAUUCGUAGGAAGAACAUGGGCAGGAGCCACCCAGGAUAUUCCAGAAGUGUGACUAUCAAUAAACUGCUGUCACUCCCCCACCAGGUCCAAACAAGAAGCCCAGCACUUGCUUGAUUUAUUUGGGUUUUGGAGGACUCGCAUUCCACACCGGGAACUAUUUCUAGCUCCUGUGUGUAAGACUCCAUUAAAGAAAGCUGCAUCUGAGUGGGGUCCUGAACAGAAGCAGGCCACGUCAGAACUAUACAUGGCAGCUGUGUGCUUGACACCAUCGGGCCCUUGUGACCCCCACUGAGACAGGAUUUUGGAAGUGUCUGCCCCCCACACCCAUGCAGACUGCAGCUUGUGGGAAUAAAAAGAAAACGAGCACCUCCCAGCUGUGACCCUUGGGAUUCUGGACCAGAAAAUUCCCACAUGGUGCUGCCUGGUACACACCACUUGGGAGACAAUUAUGAACAUGCUGUUGGGAAUUAAUCAAGACUGCUUAAGUGACCGAAGGGCAGGCUGCCAGGAGGAUGCAAGGAGGCGCCCAUGGAUCCACGAGCAGGCAGCCUCAUCUCCUCUGGGACCGACACUGGAGCCCCCGGGGAACUGCAUGGACGGUGCCCUAGGAGCAGCUCUCAGCUGAACGACAGAGCUGCUUGGUUUACAGAGGGCAGUUCCAGGAGGCAUGGACAGUAUCCUGGUUGGAGGGCUGCUGCAGUAAGACCAGGGGAUGGCAAGACUGGCUGGGAGGAAGGAGAUAAACGUGAUCUCAGUGGGCUGAAUUCCAUGCCCUUUUCUGGGCAGUGACGGGAGAAUGGAGCAGUGAGGAAAGCCCCUCGUGCUGGGGUUCCUAUGACUUGGGGCUGUGGAUACUGGCCUGACUGUGUGGCCACGUAGACAGGAAAUGGGAAACUGGACUAUGAAAGCAAUGCCCACGUGGACAACGGCCAUAUGGAUAUUGCCCUGGGAAUUUGAGGGGCACGUUAAAGCAGGCCAUGUUGGUUUGUAUCAGAAGAAGCCUUUCUAGGAGUGGGAGGUGACUGUAGCCACCAGGUGGGCCUGCUGGUGCGGCCCUUGGAGGCAGCCGCCGGGGUCCAUACAAAGAGUGGCUGUGGGGAGCUGCAGCAGCGCGCGCACAGGCUGAGUCUACGCGUAUUCCUCUUGCACCCUGUGAGGCACGGAAUGCCAGCAAGACCUGUUCCGACUGUCAGCUAAAGAGACAGACACUGCAUUUGGCUAUGGGGAAAGUUCCCCAGUGGGCACGCCCUGCACAUAGCUGGCCAGUGGGUGAGAUUGGAUCAACGCUGCUACCGCUCGGAGGCUGUAAGUGGGUCGUUAGCAGAGUAGACACUUAUUCGGGACUAUGCUUUGCAUACCCAGUGGUAGGUGAAAUGCUGAAGACACCGUUUAAGGUUUGGAACUGAAGAUUCUAUACCAGUUUGGACAGCCAGGUUACAUCUCCGACCAGGGGACACGCUUUACCGACCAUGCUGUUCCACGGUGGGCCGAGAAACAUCCCAUCAGACGGAUGUACAGUGUUGCAUGUCACUCUCAGAGCAAUGGUUUAAUAGAAAAUUGGAACGGGC